GGGCUAACCAUAGACUUUGUUCCAGGAAGAAUGGAUUGCGCAGAUUCUCCUGAUGAAGGACGCCUUCCUGAUGCAAAUCAAGGUGCCGGACAUUUGAGAGAAAUCUUUUACAGAAUGGGGCUUUCUGACAAGGAUAUUGUCGCGCUUUCAGGAGGCCACACUCUGGUAUAUUUAUCACCAUUUGAUGGGACAUGAAGUCGAGAUGCAGGUGGUUUGAAAUACUUUGCCUCGUCGAUUUGGCGCUCCAGGUCUU